CCAUGAUGAUAUCGAGAGCAAUGAACUCUUUUGUCCACUUGCAGGAGGCAGACUGGGACCGACCACCGCCCAUGAGGAUGUCCCGCUUUUAUGACACCUGCCCAGUUUCUAAGAAUCAUCUGAAGCCACAAACAGCUUAAGUGGCCAGUCACAUCAGAAAGGCCUUCAGUAAGAGGUCAGGAAAGGACUGGAUCCCUAAGGCUUCAGGAAGUGGAUUGGCAGUACUCCCCAAGUCAUACUGACUGACCUCCUGGCUCCCAUCACCAGCUUCAUUAGCCACUUCCCUGAAUUCCUCACCUCCCAACCUAAGCUUCAGGCCUCAAGGCCAAGUGAAAACAAGGGACACACCCAGAAUUGCUUUGCAUUUGAUUUAUUGAAGGGAAGCUUUGAAACAGGACCUCAGGAUCACAGGCUGUUUCUCUCACUACAUUCUACAGGAAUUGGGCUCUUGGCUGACAAGAGGAACAGGAAAUCCAGAAGGCUAGUUCCAUCUUGAGAUAGCAGGAGCUUGCUGUCCCCACUUGCUUUUAUAUUUCUUGUCGAGAUCCUUUGCUUCCUGAAACAGAGAGAGAGUUAACGUGGCCCUGCUUUUCCUGGGCGCACUAGGUCAGGACAGUUUCUCCCUCCCCACUUCUAGCAGUUUUUUCUUGGCUAUUAGUCAGUGAUUGGGAAGGGAUUUACUUGUAGGAUUCAGCUCUAGCACAAGCAUGUUUAAGGAGAGGAAGAAAAAUGGACCAGAGCCUGAACACAAAUAGCCUGAAAUCCUGGAAGUCACCAGAGAGUCAUCCCUAACAUUGGUGAUGGAUGAGGAGCCAAGAGAAUGCACAGACUCCAGGAAGGCAGACUGCUCUUUGUAUUUAGAGUCAGGAGGACCCAAGGCCAGAUCCAGGCCAGAGAGGGGGAGAAGAGCUUUGUAUCCCAGCCUGGGGGAAGACAGUAUCCUCAAUCAUCUCAGCAUGGGAAGGAAGACAUCCUGGUUCACCCAAGCUAAAUCAUAUUUCUGACCCAGGGAGGGGAACCUAGUGCCACCCACUCAUCUGGAGGAGGGAGAUGGGAAUUAACACGGUCUGUGACAGGAUCCCUGGUCAUUUGUGCCUGGGGACUGGGGAGGGGCUUACUAGGUGUAGUCGAGGAAUACCUCCUCUUUUCUUUAUUUGUAUUUGCCUAAGAUAAAGUUGUGGACUUACUUAUCUUUGCUUCAGACAAAGAUAAGGAUUGACACCUUCGCCCAUCUUGGGACCAAGGAUGGAAUGUAAACAAGAAGGCUGCGGGAUAAAAUUUAUGAAGGGCUAAUUGCGAUUAGGUGGGCGCCUAUCCCCUUGUCUGUCCCCUUCCCCUUUGUUUGUAUUUGCAUUAACGGAAGAAUGUAGGCUGACCUUCGAACACCUGCCUAUCCCUUGAUCAAGAUUAGGGUUUCUGGAAUGUAGAGUUGUACAUUCCUGUAGGUUUUUUGUCUAAGUAGUCUUUGCCUAUAAAAGUUCUGUGUGAAGCAAAUAAAAUUGGCACUAUUUCUCUCUUUUCAUAUAGUGUCCAUCUCUUCUUUUGUUACUCUUCAUUUUUCGUUACCCCAAACAGGAUGUCACAGGACUGGCCAACCCUGUGGAUGAGUCUUGUAAGCCAUAGAGUCUUACAAAUGGCUGCCCGGACAGGGACUUGCAUUCGUAACCCCGAUUCCUUUGCUGGUCAAAGGAUGACGAAGAGUUAACAGCUUUUGCCCCGAGACUGCAGCUCGGAUGGGCAGAAGAAUCGAACAGAGAGAGUGCAGUAUUUGUGGGCCUCCUCUGUUCCCCAACUUUUUCUCUCUUUCGCUUUUUAGUUUAAACUGUCCCCUAUUAGGGACCCCCUUCCCCCCAUUCUUUUCUUUUCUUGGAACCCUUCCUUCGGUUCUCUUUGGAUAACCCCCGACGCUGUGUGCUGGUCAUGCAGUUUCAAUGCUACGGAGAUCCCCUUGGUGGUGAGCAUACGAGAUACUCUAAGGGUGAGAGGGAAAUUAUAUUUUUUCUUUAGAAUGGAUCCUAAAAGACUGAUUUUUUCCUUUCAAAGCAUGCUUGUCACAAUGUUGUGUGUUUCUGUUUUUUGUUGUCUUUGUCAAAGUCUCAUCUCUAUGUAUUCUUGAAUUGGACACUCACAAAAAGAAAGAAUAUAAAAUGGGAUAGUUGCAAGAUUGAACUUGUCUGUCAAAAAUCCUCAGCAGAGGACAAAAGCAAAUACCUGUUCAAUGAUUUUUUCCUCUUUCUUCCUUUGGAUGGGCCCCCAAAGGAGCGAAAAAGAGAAAAAUUCAGAGCAGAAAAAGGGAGAUUUUUACUCCACAAUUAGAGGCUAUUUUUCACUUAAGAUUAAUCCUAUGGUUUGAUGUAAGCAAUUUGGGAGUAUUGUUAAUGAUUUUGAUAUGAUCUAAAUUUAAUUUCGUGCAACUAUUUGUCAGUUAAAUGUGAAAUAUUAAUCAGAUUUUAUUGAGUACAACAAAAUUCCUGGUUAGAAGUUUGUUUUAUUAAAUAUUGCUAUGCAUAAUGGUUUCAGUGAAUUUGAGAAUUGUCUAAAUGUGGCUGAUAGCCAGACUGACACAGAGAGGGAAUAUUUUAUUCUAUAAGGACAAAAAAUUGCACUGGCUACUUUAUAUAUGUAAAAGUCAUCAUGUUGUUGAGAAGAACUUAUUCUAGAAAUUAAAUUUGGGAUUUUUUCAAAUCAGAUUUAUUUUAAUGCAUGUGCUGUCAGGAAUAGUAACAAGAAAUCAUAUGACACACAAGAAGUUUAAGUAAUCUGUUCAUGGAAUUUUAUAAUACUAGUAUUAAGAAUUUGGUAUUUUGCAAGAGAGAAUUUCUAAAUGAUGUUUUUGAUCAAGGUUAUAUGAAUUGUUUUUAAAUGUGAAAAAUGCAUAGGAAGGAAUUUGUAAUCUAGAGAUGAACAUGUAUGUAUUCAGAUACCAAAUGCUGGAAAUUAGUGAUACUGAGUGAAUACAGAAUAUGUAUGCAUUUGUAUUAUGAAGAGAAUUAAGUUUUCCACCUAAAUAGGUUAAGGGUAUAUGAUAUACAAACUGCAUGUCCUUAACAAGACAAAUUUAACCAGCCCUGAAAUCAAGAGGGCUUGUCAUGAAGAUUGAAUACAAUUCCAUAUAGUGCCUUUCCUCUACUUACAAUAAUGGUAAAGAGGGGAAGCCAGAAGAAAUAAUGAAGUAGUCCCAAUAAGAGAAAAUAAUUAAUUGAAGUAGAUAAAGGGGAUUUAUCCCUUCCUAAGUUUUUUUUAGGAAACAGACUCAGCCCCCUCCCCCUCAGGAGGUCAAACAGUUUUUGCAGGCUGGAAAAAAAAAAAGGACUCUAAUUAGCUGAAGGAUAAGAAUUAGGAAGGUCAGGUAACAAAAGGAACUUCAGGAAUAUCAAAGAGGUCCGGCUGGAAUGCCAGGUAACAUAUAGCUAACUAGGGAUGUGAUUAAGUAACUGUGAAAGUAACCAGCCUCUGAGGACAAACCUCAGGAUCUCUGACCUCACAUAACUAUGUUUGUGAUCAAACUAUGUUUGAUUGUCAAAUAAGAAUCUUUAUGUGAAAGGAAAUAACUUUAUAUCUUAUAACCUAUCUAUAUAAGUUUAUAAUUGAAUUUGGAGGUGUCUGGAUUCGUUUUAUGAAGUGUUCCACUGCAAUAAGAGUAAUGAAUAGAGAUACUAACUGAUAUUCUUAAAUUCUAGUAUGAAUUAGAUAUAAUUGUAAUAAUGUUGAUGGAAUUUAAUCAGGAAUAUAGCAAUAUUUUAGGCUAAACGAAAACUAAACUGUAGGUUUUAUUCUACUUUAGACAGGUUUUGAGGAGUGUACGUAAAUGCUUUGUGCUUCAGUUUGGUUACACACUGAAACAUUGCUAAAGGACUUAAUCAAAGUUAUUUGGGAGUUGUGGAGUUUAAACUAAAAUCCACUGAGAGUAAAUUAUUAUGAAAGAGGUUUGAUAAAUUCAAUAUUAUAGUAAGCUCACUUGUUAAAGAAGGAUGGGACAAGGCUGUUAAGUAAUAAAUCUAAAUUGAGCCAAGGAGCCUUAGGAUCAAUUGCUCAGAAGCUAUUAACCCCUUCCUUGCACACAGGAAGGAGAAGGAAGUUCCACACUAAUACUUAUGAACUGCACUAGGGAUCUCAAAGAGUUAACAACCUCUGUGUGAUAGAACUUAAGAUAAGUGUAUUUUAAUUGUAGAUUCAGAGGUUUUAAGACACUCAAACAAACAAACUUUGCCAGGCCUGGUCUGACCAAGUAGCUUGUUUGAAGCUGUGAAUUUUCAUGCAAACAUUCCAUGUCCAGAAUGAUAAGAUUAUUCAGCCAACAAGAUGUAGCUUCAGCCCUUCAUUCUGUAAGACUACACUUUCCUGCUCUGUACAUCGUCCAUUAUAUGGGUGAUAUUCUUAUCAUGGCUGAAGAUGAAUCUCGAGUAAGCAAGUGCUAUCUAUAGUCAAUUGGAAAUUACCUUGCAAAAAUACCAUUUAGCUAUUACUCAAGAAAAGAUUCACAAAACAAGUCCCGUCCUCUAUCUAGGGGCUCAGUUAUAGGCAACAUCCGUUAUGCCUCAAAAAUACAAUUAAGAAAGGACUGCUUUAAUGAUUAUCAGAAAUUGUUAGGUGAUAUCAAUUGUGUCAGGCAAUAUUCAUUUCUUACUACAACUGAAUUACAACCUUUAUUCAAAAUACUGGAAGGGAGCUCUGACUUGAAUUGCCCUGGAACUUUGACACCUGAGGCCUCUCUUGCUUUAGAGAUAGUAGAAGAUAACCAUUAUCAGCCUCAAUUAGCUGUGAAAGUGACUAUUUUUGCAACUUUAAUGUUACCAACAGGUGCCUUAACUGAGAAACAAAGAGUCAUUGAAUGGUUACAUCAAAAAAGCAAAAUGGGAAAGGCUUUACAGAGUUAUGACUGUCUUAUGGCUCAAUUAAUAUGGAAAGGCAGAGAACAUGUGGUCUCAGGUUUAGGAGAGUAUCCUCAUGAAGUCCAGGUACCCAUUGCUAAAGAUAUACUACAGAAAUAUUUAGUCUUUACUGUUAGCAUACCCCAUUGCUAUUACCACCUACACUCCACAAGGCUUAUUUUCUUUUUCGUCACAACAUCCUAUUUUUUUUCCUAAUAUUCUAAGAGAUUGUCCGGUAUCAGGACCUAAUGUUUGUGUUGAUGCAAAUGCUAAUUACAAGUGACAGGAGUAUACAAGGAAGGCAGCUCACCUGUCAUUUUUACCACUCCUUAUUCUUCUACCCAACAAAAUGAAUUAACAGCUGUUUGACUAGCUUUUUGGUUAUUUCAGGAACCUUUACUCUAAAUAAAAAGUGUCCUAAUUGUGUUCCAAACAACCCCCCAAUGCAUAUUGCUGUGAAUCCCAGAGGCUUAAAUAGUACAAAUGGAUAUGACCCAUGAAUGGUCCUUUGGACGACUUAAAUAUAUCCAUGUCACUGUGGAUACUUUUUCAGGAUUUUUAUGGGCUUCCUGCUUGAUGGGAGAAAGAACUUCUCAUGUUAUUAAUCACUGCUUAAUGACUUUUGAGAUGGCUGGUCCCCCCAGAACAUUUAAAACAGAUAAUGGACCUGCUUAUACUUCCAAACAAUUUUUUCUUUUUUGCCACACUUGGGCUAUUCACCUCUCAGGUAUCCCACAGAAUCCACAAGGACAAACUGUUGUGGAGCACAGUAAUCAAAUCUUAAAAAACAUUUCUUUUAAAACAAAAAGGGGGAGACAGCAUCCCACAUUGAUGAUUGGCAAUAGCUAUAUAUACUAUAAAUAAUUUGAUCUUUACUUCCAAUAAUAUAUCCAGAGAUGAAAAAUUUGUCUCUGCAUGAAAUUCAGGCACCACUCCUGUGCUCCCUGCCCCAGAACAAAAACUUGGCAUGUGGAAAGAUGAUAAUCAAACUUGGCAAGAGGCAAGGACCACCCAGUGGUCCUGCAAGGCCGAGGUUCUGUUUGUGUCUUCACAGGUAAAGACAGAGUACGGCUCCCUCCCUGCUGAGUUCGAGAAAUUGACCAUAAAGAGAAGGACAAGGAGAGGACACAGGAAGCCUCACAAGGGACUUGACAAUAUCUCCAUAAGAUACUGACUCUUCUGCUUCUAUUCCAGAAUUUAAGUGCAGCUACUGGAGUAAAGAGAUGGUCUUUGGGGAACAACCACCUUGGGUAGAGCAUGUCAGCAUGGGACACGCUUUACCAGAAGUCAUCUUAUAUACAAAAACUAACUGAUAUUCCUGGCAUUUACCAUUUUGAGAGACAAGCUAAGGACAACAAUCAGGCCAACAAUUUGUUUGUGCCUUUCAAUUGGACUGGACUAGUUGAGGCACCCCCAGUGUGCCUCGCAGGAGACUGCAUGCCUGCCCCUCAGAUCUCUGCAGGUGCAUUAUUAUGGUCAUCCUGACCUGUCAGACUCUUUCUGGAUAGGACCUUAUCAUGUAGAUAAAAGGGAAAAAUAUGAAGAUUAUGGCCAACUGCAAUAUCUAGGUUGGCUAGGGGAAUCUUGUGAUAGUAUUUGGGGACAAGAAAGACCUAUUUGUCCAUAUGUGAUGGGAUAUGAACAAAGAGACACUGUUAAUAUGUUUCUGCCCUUGCUGUCAUGUAGAUUUAAAAGGGCAUCAUGUAUUCAUUGGAAAAAUAUGAUUUGGAUGUAUUGGCAUAACAACACUAGGUGUAUUGGAAAGAAAUUGGAUUCUUAUAAAUUUCAUGAUUGUUUUAUAGGAUAGAGCUCGCCUUUGUGGGUGAUGCCCCCAGAGCUAAUUGGUUACAUUUUGCUAAUUUCACACAGAUUUUGACUGAUUAUGGAAAGAUAGCCCCGGCAUUGGAUAAAGUAAAUAUGUCUCGUUAUGUUAAUGUUACUUAUAAUGGAAAAGUCCAAAAUCCAGUAACUAGAAGUGUUACAUUAGACAUCCAAGGUAAACACUCAGGGGGGUGGUAUCACUCACCGGCAGAUAGAGCAAUGGAAUAAUUGUCUCAACUAAUUAGCCCUAAGAAGAGAAGAUGUAUUUCUUGCUUAGUUUUAGGAAUUGUAGCUCUUAUAGCCGCUAUAACAGCCACAACUGUCAGUAGUGUUUCACUAGCACAAAGUGUAGCUAAUGUAAGGACCCUGGAACAUGAUGCAGAAUAUUUACAUGGGCUAGCACAGAAUGUGACCCAGGUUUUACACUUGCAGCAGGAUAUUAAUACAAGGGUUUUUUAUGCUUUACAACAAAUAUCUAAAUAUGUAUUGUUAUUAACCAAUCAAGUAGAAAUUUUAGCUAUCAAGGGUAAAUUAAGGUGUGAUUAUCGCUAUUCAGCCUUUUGCUUUCUUCCUGUUAAAGCUAACAUGUCUGAUGCAUUCGAAAAAAUUAGAAGUGAUUUACAAGGUCUUUGGUUAAAGAGUAACAUCUCAGAGGACAUCCAACAAUUGAACCACAUCAUUGAUGAGAUGGAUAACUCUUUAGCUGAGGACCUUCGCCCCGAACAUAUCGCUGAUUCGUUAUACAAUUGGAUCAAGUCAGGCCAAAGUUGGCUGUCUCCUUUGGCUCAAAUGAGUAUAACCAUAUUAACCUUCAUAUUGUUCAUAGUUAUCUUAGCGGUCCUUCUUCCCUGUCUGUUCCAAAUCCUUUUGUCCAGCUUGGGAAAAAUUGGCCGAAUCUUGGCUCUCCACAGAAGUCUUUUGCAGAACAAAUAGGGGGAAUUGUAGUCGAGGAAUACCUCCUCUUUUCUUUAUUUGUAUUUGCCUAAGAUAAAGUUGUGGACUUACUUAUCUUUGCUUCAGACAAAGAUAAGGAUUGACACCUUCGCCCAUCUUGGGACCAAGGAUGGAAUGUAAACAAGAAGGCUGCGGGAUAAAAUUUAUGAAGGGCUAAUUGCGAUUAGGUGGGCGCCUAUCCCCUUGUCUGUCCCCUUCCCCUUUGUUUGUAUUUGCAUUAACGGAAGAAUGUAGGCUGACCUUCGAACACCUGCCUAUCCCUUGAUCAAGAUUAGGGUUUCUGGAAUGUAGAGUUGUACAUUCCUGUAGGUUUUUUGUCUAAGUAGUCUUUGCCUAUAAAAGUUCUGUGUGAAGCAAAUAAAAUUGGCACUAUUUCUCUCUUUUCA